UCAGUUUGGCAAGAUUUGCACUGAAUACUGAAUGAAACAACUUUCUCUAUUAGAGAGACAAGCUUUUGAGCAGAUUUGGGCUAGAAUUCACUUCAUUUGAACAGAAGCACUAUUUCAACAUCACUGGACUCAGAAAGCUGUAAACUGACAAUCUUGAUCAUUGAAGUCCUAACAUAAGUUUUUUGUACAUAUAACUUCUAACACAUCAAAACUGUCUUACAGCAUUGCAGAAAACAUUGUAUUUCAUAAGGCAUAAGCAUAUUUCAGUUUGGCAAGCAUUGUACUGAAUACUGAAUGAAACAGCUUUCUCUAACAGAGACAAAAGCUUUUGAGCAGAUUUGGGCAUGAUUUCACUUCAUUUGAACAGAAGCACUAUUUCAACAUUACUGGACUCAGAAACAUGUAAACUGACAAUCUUGAUCAUUGAAGUCCUAACAUGAGUUUUUGUGCAUAUAACUUCUAACACAUUAAAAACUGUCUUACAGCAUUGCAGAAAACAUUGUAUUUCAUAAGGCAUAAGCAUCUUUCAGUUUGGCAAGAUUUGCACUGAAUAUUGAAUGAAACAGCUUUCUCUAUUAGAGAGACAAGCUUUUGAGCAGCUUUGGGCUAGAUUUCACUUCAUUUGAACAGAAGCACUAUUUCAACAUUACUGGACUCAGAAAGCUGUAAACUGACAAUCUUGAUCAUUGAAGUCCUAACAUAAGUUUUUGUGCAUAUAACUUCUAACACAUUAAAAACUGUCUUACAGCAUUGCAGAAAACAUUGUAUUUCAUAAGGCAUAAGCAUAUUUCAGUUUUGGCAAGAUUUGCACUGAAUACUGAAUGAAACAGCUUUCUCUAAUAGAGAGAAAAGCUUUUGAGCAGAUUUGGGCUUGAUUUCACUUCAUUUGAACAGAAGCACUAUUUCAACAUUACUGGACUCAGAAACAUGUAAACUGACAAUCUUGAUCAUUGAAGUCCUAACAUGGGUUUUUGUGCAUAUAACUUCUAACACAUUAAAAACUGUCUCACAGCAUUGCAGAAAACAUUGUAUUUCAUAAGGCAUAAGCAUCUUUCAGUUUGGCAAGAUUUGCACUGAAUAUUGAAUGAAGCAGCUCUAACUCACAGAGAAACAAGCUUUUGAGCAGAUUUGGGCUAGAUUUCACUUCAUUUGAACAGAAGCACUAUUUCAACAUUACUGGACUCAGAAACCUGUAAACUGACAAUCUUGAGCAUUGAAGCUCUAACAUUAGUUUUUGUGCAUAUAACUUCUAACACAUUAAAAACUGUCUUAUAGCAUUGUAGAAAACAUUUUAUUUCAUAUGACAUAAGCAUCUUUCAGUUUGGCAAGAUUUGCACUGAACAUUGAAUGAAGCAGAUCUAACUCACAGAGAAACAAGCUUUUGAGCAGAUUUGGGCUAGAUUUCACUUCAUUUGAACAGAAGCACCAUUUCAACCAACAAGUCCUCCAACUCAUACGACCGUAUAGGUCGUUUGUCACUAUCCUCAAAUACGACCCACACGAGAGUUCUCUAAAUUAGCGCCCCUAUUGGCAACAAGAGGUACGAUACAUGAACUUUCGCCUAAAUGCAUUGUGGGUUUAUUUUAACGUUUGCUAUUUGCGUUUUGAAUUGUUUGUUUUAAACUCUCCCAGAUGUUCGUGGAUUUUGAUGAUAUGGAUUUUAGAUGUCUUCGAGACAUGUAACUUACAGUUUCUUCAUAUCACAUACAUCUCCAGCUCCUACAACAACAUUCAGUGCAGCAGUUCUUUAUAAAGCUCUCUCUCUUUCUCUCUCUCUCUUUCUCUCUCUCUCUCUCUCUCUCUCAUUUUCCUUUCCUAUUUUUCUGAACUGUAAUUCAUAAAUAAGUCACACAUAUUUUUCUUUCUUUCUUUCUCUUGUUCAUCAUGGUAUAUUUUCACAGCUAAGAAUCAGAUUUUGAUCAGUUCUUGUAUUAACAGGGAACUUGAACUCGAAGCUCAAAGCUGAACUUGAAGAAGUUUCCAGUGAAGAUGAAGUCCUUCAAAGGUUCGACACAGCUGAAAAGGAAGAUCAUGGGCCUGUCAAACCUUGUUUGUGGAGAGGGAUGAAUCUUGUGUGUUUACGGAGAAGACCAAAAGCUGCUAAGGCAGAUAUUUCCAGAGGUACAAACAGAGCGGAUGGUUGCAUGAUGGCCUCUUUCAGUUUUGUCAACUGAGCGUCUACUAGUGAGGCUCAGCAAGUUCUUGUCAUGAUCAGCCCUCUCCAAGAAAGCUGAAGAGCAAAAACACAAACAACAUCAGUCCUGUUGGGGAUGAGGAAUGAACAUGGCUCUAUUGUGCCCAAAUAGAAAAGAGUGAAAAGAAAGACUGCAGUAGAAGGAAAGCUGGUACUGAGAACAUUUGUCUUCAGUCCAGACUAAAGAGAAGUGGGUCUGAGGCCAGAGAUGGAGGAGUCAGUGGUCACCAAAUGCAGCGCUGCAGCCUGAAACUGUGAAGACUGGAUUCCCAAACAGCUCUGUGACCGCACAGAUGUUACGGCCAUAAAAGAAACUUCACAACUGAGAGCCCAUACCUCCAACAACCUUCAACAGGAAUCAAUGGACAUCUACGCAAGGUUUUUCUUUUGUUGAGGACCGUCAGAGACUCCAGCCAGACGAACCAUGGAUUGCUCUCACUGUUACCAUCAGACAGACAUUAUCACAGAACCAGCACCAGCAGACUGCAAGACAAGUUCCUUCCACAGGCAAUCAGACUGAACUGAAUUCGUACCAGUAACACCACACACACACACACACACACACACACACACACACACACACACACACACACACACACACACACACACACACACACACACACCAGCAGCUCAUACUGUAUGCACUGCACUCUAUCAGCUACACUGACUGGACUCUCACUCACUAUUAUUCUGCAGCCUGAUAUUCUGUUUGCACUAAUUCAUACUGUACUGAAAGUGAAAGUGACGUGACAUUCAGCCAAGUAUGGUGACCCAUACUCAGAAUUUGUGCUCACACCCGGAGCAGUGGGCAGAGGUAUAUCUACAGUAUACAGUGAUUGCUGUUUAUUGUUUUCAUUUUGUUCUCUCUGUUUAGUAUAGUAUUGCACUAUAUUUUCUACCUGUAUUGAGCUCUUAUGUAUACAGUUUAUAUUUUUAAUACUGUAUAUGUGUUGCAAAUAUAUUCAGAACUUGUCAUGCUGCAGUUUGCACAAAAGCAUUUCACCACCUGUAUACUUGCAUUCAUGGUAUUGUGAUAAUAAAAUGAUUUGAUUUGAAUUGGUCACAUGACUUGUUCAUCAGUUGUACUGUUGUGCUGGAUAACCAUUUCAAAUUGUUUAUGACAUUGAAGAAGAUCAUGAUAGAGACAUGGAUUUGAAGAAAACCAGGAGAGCUCUGAUGAUAAGAAGGAAACUGGAUGUGAUUCUUUGGUGCUCAAGACAUUUCACCAUGCCUUCAUCUGGGUUUCUUCAUCUGAUUAAAAUAAUAUGGUUUUAAAGUAACCAAUUUUUAUUUCACUUGAAUAUAAUUUGUCUUAAUAUGCUACUUUAUCUGUCUUUAUGCUGCAUCCUAGUAAAAUAUUGCGUAUGGUGUUGGAUAAUAAAGUAUGGUGAAUAUUCUGUACUAGAGAUGGUUUUUGGUAAAUACACCAUUUAAUUUUGUAAACAACACAUAUAAUCACCAUGGUUGUUUUGAUUAAGACAUGAACAUUUAGUCAAAUUAAUGAAAUUCAGUUAGAUGAAGAGCUGGAAGAAAGCUGCAUUAGAAGAGACUGCAUGGACUUCAUGCACAACUGAAGGAGAUGAAUCAAGGAAAGAUCAACAUGAAUCCUGUUCUGUAUUAUAAUGAAGAUGAUCAUGCACAUUAAUGAUGUCUAGCUCCUGAGCAGGACAAAAAAAAAAAAAAAACAUUCUUUACAGAGAUUUAUGAAUUAGGUAUUUUAUAUUAUGAUUCUUUAAAUUGCAUGAAUUGUAUGGAACCAUAAACUGCACACUGUCACACAUUGUCUUACUGAAUGACACAUUGGCCUUGUGUGAUGAAGUGUCAGAAUGUGUAUUUGUUGUCUUUGUUUACUAUUAGCACUGUAUUGUUGCUCUUGAUCUUAUGAAAUAAAUUGAGCUCUUUCC